rnacentral:rRNA from 1 species
GCGCUGCAGUCGAGAACCUUCGCAAUGCGGGAAACCGCGACGAGGGACUCCCAGUGCCUACGCUCAGCGUAGGCUGUUCCCGAGCCUAGAAAGCUCGGGGAGUAAGGGCUGGGUAAGACGGGUGCCAGCCGCCGCGGUAAUACCCGCAGCCCGAGUGGUGGCCACUAUUAUUGGGCCUAAAGCGUCCGUAGCCGGCCCGGUAAAUGCCUGGGUAAAUCGUGAGGCCUAACCUCACGAAUUCCGGGUAGACUGCCGGGCUAGGGACCGGAGGAGGGAGAGGGUACUCCAGGGGUAGGGGUGAAAUCCUGUAAUCCCUGGAGGACCACCGGUGGCGAAGGCGCUCUCCUAGGACGGGUCCGACGGUGAGGGACGAAAGCCAGGGGAGCGAACCGGAUUAGAUACCCGCGUAGU